UACGUAGGGUGCAAGCGUUAUCCGGAAUUAUUGGGCGUAAAGAGCUCAUAGGCGGUUUGUCGCGUCUGCUGUGAAAACUGGGGGCUCAACCCCCAGCCUGCAGUGGGUACGGGCAGACUAGAGUGCGGUAGGGGAGAUUGGAAUUCCUGGUGUAGCGGUGGAAUGCGCAGAUAUCAGGAGGAACACCGAUGGCGAAGGCAGAUCUCUGGGCCGUAACUGACGCUGAGGAGCGAAAGCAUGGGGAGCGAACAGG
rnacentral:rRNA from 1 species